GUAGGAGGCGAGCGUUAUCCGGAUUUACUGGGCGUAAAGAGGGCGUAGGCAGUUUUUCAAGUCGAUUGUAAAAUCUCCCGGCUUAACUGGGAGGGGCCAGUCGAUACUGUUAGACUAGAGAGCAGCAGGGGGAGGUGGAAUUCCCGGUGUAGUGGUGAAAUGUGUAGAUAUCGGGAGGAACACCAGUGGCGAAGGCGGCCUCCUAGGCUGUUUCUGACGCUGAGGUCCGAAAGCGUGGGGAGCAAACAGGAUCAGAUACCCUGGUAGUCCACGCUGUAAACAAUGGACACUAGGUAUAGGGAGUAUCGACCCUCUCUGUGCCGAAGCUAACGCAUUAAGUGUCCCGCCUGGGGAGUACGGCCGCAAGGCUAAAACUCAAAGGAAUUGACGGGGGCCCGCACAAGCAGCGGAGCGUGUGGUUUAAUUCGAUGCAACGCGAAGAACCUUACCAAGGCUUGACAUGUCGGAAGUAGCGACCCGAAAGGGAAGUCACCUGUUGAGUCAGGAGCCGUCACAGGUGCUGCAUGGCUGUCGUCAGCUCGUGCUGUGAAGUGUUAGGUUAAGUCCUGUAACGAGCGCAACCCUCGUUGCCAGUUGUUUUCUCUGGCGAGACUGCCCUGCAAAAUGGGGAGGAAGGUGGGGAUGACGUCAAGUCAGCACGGCCCUUAUGCCUUGGGCUACACACACGCUACAAUGGGUGGUACAAUGGGUAGCAAUAGAGCAAUCUGGAGCCAAUCCUGUAAAGCCAUCCUCAGUUCGGAUUGCAGGCUGAAACCCGCCUGCAUGAAGUCGGAGUUGCUAGUAACCGCAGGUCAGCAUACUGCGGUGAAUACGUUCUCGGGCCUU
rnacentral:rRNA from 1 species